GUUUAAUAUUGUUCAGAAUCGUUAAUUGUAAAAUCUCACAGGACAGCAUGUUGUAUUUUUUAAACACAACGACGUGUUUCCCUUGGGGUUGUUGAAUAGGACGUACCGCAUCAAACCAGCAGAAGUCAAUGGCAGAGCCUGUGCAGGAAGGGACAGAAGUUCUCCCUGCAACUGUCAGUCUGAAAGACGAGGAGGUGGAGGGGGGGGAGAAGAGCCCGUGUAAGGAAGAAGAGGACGAAGAAGAAGAUCUGCCCCAUGCUGAAUUCCUGGACAUCUUUGAGGAAGGCUUGGCGAGGAUAGUCCAGGACCCUCUGCUUUGUGACCUACCCAUUCAGGUCACAUUGGAAGAGAUCAAUUCCCAGGUGGCUCUGGAGUAUGGCCAGGCAAUGACAGUCCGAGUCUGCAAGGAUGACGGUGAAGUUAUGCCGAUUGUGGUGGUGCAGAAUGCUACAGUGCUGGACCUGAAGAAAGCUAUUCGCAGGUUCAUGGAGCUGAAGCAGCAGCGAGAAGGAGGAGUGAAGCACAUCAGCUGGCGGUAUGUCUGGAGAACCUUCCAUUUGAUUUUUGAUGGCGAGAAACUGGAAGACGACAAAAUGAAACUUAAAGAUUAUGGCAUAAGAAACAGAGAUGAGGUGACUUUUCUCAAGAAGCUAAAGUGAAUCAGUUUGCCUCAGAGAUGCCCAGGGCGCAGGAGCAGACGGAGCUGGAUGAGGUGCCAAGAUGAUGGCUCGGCCGAGGCAACAGCAGCAGUAGCAGCUCCUGAGCAGGAAAUCGCUGCUCACCAUGCUGCAGGACUUCAAACACAACACUGGCUUCAUCUCCACGACAAGAAGGCAUUGACCAAAAGAACAGACUCCACUGAGAAGAAGGAGCUUGAGAGGACAGAUGAGCAGACGAGAGACAUUGCAGAGCAAGAGGGAGAGCUCCUGAACCGCAGGAAGGAGAUCCUGUUCCCUGGCCAGUCCAGACCAGAUUUGUGCAAAUUGAAUGGUGGCGUAUUUUGUUUUGCCUGGCAUUUCAGAUCAGUUUGAAAUUGCAGUACCACCACAGUCAUUCCAAGCACCCCAGCAGACACUGGACUAUGACAAGCUCCCAGACAGUCCCACCCCAACGCACUGCCCCUCCUGGCAGCAGUUUGUGACCACAGAGAUUUCCAGGAAGGCAGGAAACGCUGUCUGGCUAUUGUGCAUCAUGGCCGUCAUGUUUGGGUAGGCUAGUUUUUACUGACUAUUUCUCCCUGGAUCAGUUUGACAAACGGUGACUGAUUUGCAUUAAAGGCACACUGUAAAAAUAGCUUCUUUGCGUAAUUCCCAGGUCACUUCCUUGCCAGUUGCACAAAGAUUGUGUGUUUUUCUUUUUUUUUGGUAGAAGCCAUAAUAUUACCUUAUUUUUAACUUGUUUCCAACUGACCUGUCCAGGACUUUUAAAUACCAUAUAUAGUGCACCAUCCUUGUUUCCACACACAAGUAACUUGCCCUGUACUGUACUCUUCGCUCAUUCGCUGCCUUCAGUAAAUCACAAGGAAGCACUGUAAACUGAUCCAUUGUUUACUUCAAAUGUUAUUUUAACAAAAAUAAUUACUUGAAUGUAUUUUCUUGAACAUUGCUAUGCCAGCAUGGAUUAAUAACUCUUUGUAUUGCAAUAAUACACAAAUUUCUUUGGUUCCUCUGAUGCUUUCUUGGCUGUUGUUUAAUCCCUUUCUGUGUACAUGUAUAUAAGGAUGUGGUCCACAGGUGCCCUAACUGUCGAUCCAUAAUUCAGAUAAUCCAGAAGCUUUAAGAAUCCAGCGAAUUACAGAACAAAUUAGGGCUUUGGCUUAUGGCACACCCCCCAGAAAGAAAAAUGUAGGCUGAAAGGACGAAAUGUGGAAAUGUACUGCAACGAAGUUCACAGAAAAUCUUUAAUUGCCACAAACUGGACAACAGCAGUACAGUGAUCUGUAGAGUUUUAAAGCUGGGAUAUAAUUCUAAACCCAAGACAAAGAGGUACGAUGAAGUUACUUUGCAUGUCUCAACAGGCACAUUACAAAAAGGUACAUUUUACAUAAUCCGGCACCUGCAUAUAUUUGUAAUGCACACCCCCUUUUCUUUUUAGAUUGAACACAUCCAAAUUGAUAGACAUUGUUUUACCUCAAGCAGAAAUAGCAGUGUAAAAUAGCAAGUUUCCUCAAGGUGGUUACCCACAUUGCAUUCAGAUUCACGCAGAACUUGUGCUGUAUGUUCUCUACUUGCCAUACAGUCAACCCCUUUUAAUAUAACUUCAAAAGGGGCUGUUCAAAAUCAGUGAUAAUAAGCAGAGUUGAUUUUAUCAGGAGUUCAGGAAUAAACAGUACUGCUGUGGAAAUAUAGUGCUAGGCAUUAUAUGGAUUACAUUGGUGUUCAUUAAUACAAUUUAUUUUGAAUAUUUAGUCUGCUAUAUUACUUGUACAACACACCUAUGUUUUUCUGAUAACUCAUUUAAUACCAAAAUUGGUUUUAAAAUUGUAAAGCUUUGAUCUAAUCAACUUUUUAUUUCUUAAAACAGCUGAUGAAACUUUAGUCUGGUUUUCACAUAUCCAGAUUAGCAGUAAUCUUAAACUAUGUAAAUUAACAUUAGUCUGGAGAUUAGAGAUAAUCUGGGUUUGUGAAAACAGCCAUAAGAGAUUUGAUGAAGUAGGAGACCCAACAGUCAGAUUCACAGUUCAUCACCAGUUUUAUUGCCACAAAAAAGGCAGAUAUAUAACAAACACUUAAUUUGUAACUAAAUGUUUGCCACUAUUUACAAAAGAGUUCAGAAAAUGUGCUACAUAUAUAUAAAAAAUAUGCAUUACAUAUUGUAUAUGCAUUACAUAUUAUAUAUAUUAAACUGUGGUUUUGAACCACUAACACAAUUUGAUUCCAUUACUUAGUUAAUAAAUUCUGUAUUUCUAGGACUAAAACUGAUGCCAGUUUACUGUCUAAAAAGGGCCCCAGACUCAGUUUUUGGUAGUAGUUCAGAAAGGUAGGUGGCUGUGGACACAAUGGGAUGAGCAACAACUUCACAAAAUAAUGGGUGUGAUCAUUGGGCUUGGGUAUGGGUGAAUCAUCUCCAUCAGAGCGAGGCAGAACUAACAAGCAGGUGCUGUACCAGAACUCAUUCCUUACCAAACUAAUCGCAUUUGCAUUCUGGUAAUCUUCAUGUACAAGUAAGUGCAAUUACCAUAUUUAGUUUAACUCUGCAUUAUCAUUACAAUCAUUAACAUUAUUUUGUUUUCCCCCCCCAGCUCAGUUUCCUGAAGAACAUCUCAGUAUGUCAAACCUGUAGUUUAGCCAAGCUAAUAGGGUUACAUUUUCCCCACAGCACAUAUUAAGGGGAAUUACUCCUAUUUAAAACAGAUUUUUUUCUUUUUUGCAGAGGGAGGUCACUAAUUUUUGUAUUUGUACCUUUUUAUUAAAAAAAAUAAAUAAAUACAAUGGUUGAAGUUACAAAUACAUAGCGACACUGUUCAGAUUUUAAAUUUUGCCCAAUGUGGUUCACCCAUAUCUAGCUGUUUUUAGUGUUUUUUUUUUUUUUUUU